rnacentral:sRNA from 1 species
AUUACAUGCGCCUUGCGGCAUCACAACCCACUCAUACAAGCCCCACGGAGUGCAAAUGGCGGUCUUCUCGAUAUCUGGCUCAUGCAUCAAGGUCUGGAAGAAGGCAUCAGUGAGGUCGAGUUUGGCGAAUACACGACCGUGGGCAGCACGUUGGAGGAUGUCGUCGAUAAUAGGAACCGGUGUGCGAUCUUUGAUCGUCACGUUGUUGAGGCCCCGGAAAUCGCAGAGGAAUCGAAAUUUUCCGUUCUCUUUCUUGAUAAGGAACGCUGGGGCUGCCCAAGGAGAACUGGAGGGGCGAAGGCGGCCAGCUGCAUGGUGCUUUUCGAUUUCUUGACGGAGAGUUUCACGCCAGGCUAACGGAACCCAAAAACCGGCUUUGGCGACGGGUGCAGUGUUGGGGAGGAUGUUGAUGUGGUGGCGGACUUGAGACAUGGUGGAGCAGAUCGGCGGAUAGUGCGAGACAUCGGAAAUGUUGGCAGGAAGGAUAUCGGCGAAGUCAUGGAGAAUGGCUGCCGAAAGCGAAUUACGGUUGGAGCUGACUGGCGGGGUCUCACAUGGCAUGAUAGCAUUUAGCUGUAGAUUAGCGAGUGAUGCAUAUGAUGAGCCACCAUC